AGUGGCAGACGGGUGAGUAACGCGUGGGAACAUACCCUCUGGUUCGGAAUAACUCAGGGAAACUUGAGCUAAUACCGGAUACGCCCGAGAGGGGAAAGAUUUAUCGCCGAAGGAUUGGCCCGCGUUCGAUUAGCUUGUUGGUGAGGUAACGGCUCACCAAGGCGACGAUCGAUAGCUGGUCUGAGAGGAUGAUCAGCCACAUUGGGACUGAGACACGGCCCAA
rnacentral:rRNA from 1 species